CGUUCGCGGCCGCAUUGGUUCAGCUGCUAGGGAAAAAACAAUACGCAACAAAUCAUCUUCCUAAUCUUCGGCGCACAAAUCGCUCCCCAACCCGAGGCCCGCCCGCCCGCGGCGGCGACUUCGAGUAGUCGCCCAUCGUGCAGACGCCGUCGUCGACACCUCCCCCGCCGGCUCAACGCUCCAGGUGCUCGGCCGCGCCCUGAACACAGGAUCAUCGACUCCUCUCCCACCCUCAUCGCAACUGUAGCCGACGCUGACGGCGCUCAUUAUAUCACCUGGGAGGACCUUGAAGUGCCGCACGGCGGUGUAGGCGUGCAGCUACUCUCCGACCCCGUGCGGCGACCGUCCAUAACUUGCCGCAGCGCUGGGAGCGGAUGAGGUCACACCGCGCGCAGGAUUGGGGCGGUGGUCGGACUUGGAUCUGGCGAGAUUGAUGUGGUUGUGUCCUGUGCCUCCCGGACGUCCGGAUACUUUCCCAUCCCUCCUGUGAAGAUGCCAGUGUAUGGAUUGUCAGACUUGUUCCAAAUCUGCACCUUUAAUGUCUCACUCUGAGCGAAUCAAGGAUCAGGUGACAUAGUUUCUACUGAAGCACUGUACAAGUCAAACCGAUGCUUAUUGCUCUUGUGACUGAACUAUAUAUUGAGUUAAUCCUUGACAAGAUACAUUUUCAGAUGUUGAUGUGAAUCAGGAUGGAAAAUUGAUAGAGCAGAGUGGUUGAACUUUUUCUCAAGAAAUCCAUCCUUUAUGAAGACAAGCUUGCUCAUAGGCGGAUGACAUUCUCACAAAAAACACCAAAAUAUUGUGUCUAUAGAGAUGUCUUGCAGGGAUGACACAGGUUUAUUCUCCAUUCAUGCCAAUCCAUUUUAUAAUUUUAUUCUUUCAGGCAUACUUCUCAUCUCCUUUCAAUACUGAUUCUUUUUAUUUAUUUUUUGAUCUGUUCACGUUAUGCAAGCUGGAUUUGGCACAGUUUUGUUUGGCUAAAUGCCAAUUGACAUGUCAAUAUACGCGAGCCGCAAGGUGCCUUUCACUGCCAGGGGGUGCAGCUGAGGCUGUGAAUGCUGCUGAAAUCUGCAAGCGCUGACCACUUCAUCUCACCCCGUGGGCAUGACAUGUGUCAUCCAUCAUUUCAUGCAGCGUGAUGUUGCUUAAAGGGUUAACAGAAUUACUAAGCAUGCCUCUGUGUUUAGGAGUUGAAAAGGCUUUGACUGGACGCCAAGGGAAAGGUGAACCUGUUGAUGCAAUGAACAUGCAGAACAUGGUGAAAUUGAAUAACACUUCCAUGGUUAAAUUUUCUGCCCCACGCACGUCCGCCGUUCAAGGUGCAUCCGGCACUACCCGCACGGAUCCACCUCGCAUGCCUGCUGCACCGUCCAUGACAUGCAUCUUGCUGCGCCUUUUUAAUAUAAGAGGCUUGUGCUUAUUUCUGUGAUUGCUCAAGGUAAUGCAAAGAGGUGGUCUAGACAUGAAAAUUGUGAAGUUUGUAAAUUGUAAUGACUCGAAAUUUGUACCAUCAUCAAAUGUGUGAAGUUUGUAAUGACUAGAUAUUUCACCAACGGUCAUGGCUCCAGAAUUUCAUCCUUGGUCAAUUGAUAUGCUUAACUUCUCUUGUCGAUAAUAGAAGAUUGCUCCUCUGGCCUCUGCA